CCUACGGGGGGCUGCAGUGGGGAAUUUUGCGCAAUGGGCGAAAGCCUGACGCAGCAACGCCGCGUGAGUGAUGAAGGCUUUCGGGUCGUAAAGCUCUGUCAGGGGGAAAGAAGUGUAUUGUGGUUAAUACCCAUGAUACUUGACGGUACCCCCAAAGGAAGCACCGGCUAACUCCGUGCCAGCAGCCGCGGUAAUACGGGGGGUGCGAGCGUUGUUCGGAAUUAUGGGGCGUAAUGCGCGUGUAGGAUGUGAAAGCCCCGGGCUCAACCUGGGAAGUGCAUUGGAUACUGGCAGACUUGAAUACGGGAGAGGGUAGUGGAAUUCCUGGUGUAGGAGUGAAAUCCGUAGAUAUCAGGAGGAACACCGGUGGCGAAGGCGGCUGCCUGGACCGAUAUUGACGCUGAGACGCGAAAGCGUGGGUAGCAAACAGGAUUAGAUACCCCAGUAGUC
rnacentral:rRNA from 1 species